rnacentral:rRNA from 1 species
UACAGAGGUCCCGAGCGUUGUUCGGAUUCACUGGGCGUAAAGGGUGCGUAGGUGGCUGGGAAAGUUUGAUGUGAAAGCUCAGGGCUUAACCCUGAAAUGGCAUUGAAUACUGCCUGGCUGGAGGUUUGGAGGGGGGACUGGAAUUCUUGGUGUAGCAGUGAAAUGCGUAGAUAUCAAGCGGAACACCAGUGGCGAAGGCGAGUCCCUGGACAACUCCUGACACUGAGGCACGAAAGCUAGGGGAGCAAACAGG